rnacentral:lncRNA from 1 species
AAGUUAUAGUCUUCUUUAAAAGGUGCAGUAGUAGAGAUAAAAUAUGGCCAAGGCUCUUAUGAAGUCCCCAUUCUUGAUUGCCUUGUUGCUAAUCACUAUAGGUUUGUUUCUCUUUCGUUUACCUUUCUCUUUCGUUUUCCUUUCUCUUUCGUUUUUGUUUCCCUGAGAAAAUCUCUGAAUGCAUAUAAAACAUAUAUCCAUCCGUUUCAUUUUAUAUGACGUAAUUAGGAGUACAAAAUUAUUCAAAGGGGAAUCUUGGAGCAAUGGUAAAGUUAUCGAUCUCCGAGUGACCUAUAAGUCGUGGAUUCGAGCAGUGAAAGCAGCUGCAAAUAUUUGCAUUAGGAUAGGAUGUCUAUAUCACUAUCUUUAUGGUGUAGCCUUUUCACGAUCAUUGCAUGAAUGCGAAAUUCUUUGUGCACCGAGUUAUUCUUUAGUCCGGUGUAUAAGAGUCAAACUUCAUUCUGACUUAGUACUUUUUACUUUCAGAAAAUUAGAAAAGUUAUUUAAUUUCAAUAAUAAGAAUAUACGCAUCAGUCCCAAAUAAAUUAGGGUUGACUAUGGUCCUCAUAAAGUCAGACAACAUUCUGUUAUACAACUAUAACAGUUGGUAUUUUUUAUGAAUCUUCAUUAGCCAAGAGGAGCCUUGGAGCAACGGUAAAUUUAUCUUAGUGCGAUCUAUAGGUCACAGGUUUAAGCGGUGGAAACAAUCAUUUAUAUUUGCAUUAUAUUAGGUUGUCUAUAUCACUUUUCUUGGAGUGCGACCCUUUCCCGAUUAUUUGUGAAUCUUCACUGAGCAUAUAACACUCUGUAUUUUUUUUAUGAAUUUUCACUAACCAUAUUCCUCAUUUAAAAUGUGAAAUAACGUUUUGAAAAAAAAGAAAAUUCAAUAUGCAGUUGCAGAUACUCCAUCCUCUAAGGUGGCUGCUAUACACCAUUGUCAUUAUGUCGAGGAUUGCGAUGAUUUAUGUGAAGACCAAGCCAUUUGUGUUUUCCAUAUAUGUGUAUGCGUUCCUAAGACGAGAAAGAUUGGGGAAGUUGCAUUUGGUCAUGGCCUGCCUCCAAAUUCAUAUCUUCCAAGUGUUUGAUAAAUUGUCCUAAUGGGAAGAAUUGUCAUUUCCUGUUAUAUACAUGUUUUAAUUGGCAAAAUUAUGUCGUUGCUAUAUAAAUUGAUGUAUUAAUUAGUUGUCG